ensembl:lncRNA
GAGGCAGUUAGGUAGCCUAGUGAUUAGAGAGGGGAGGCAGUUAGGUAGCCUAGUGAUUAGAGAGGGGUGGCAGGUAGGUAGCCUAGUGAUUAGAGAGGGGUGGCAGGUAGGUAGCCUAGUGAUUAGAGAGGGGUGGCAGGUAGGUAGCCUAGUGAUUAGAGAGGGGUGGCAGGUAGGUAGCCUAGUGAUUAGAGAGGGCUGGCAGGCAGGUAGCCUAGUGAUUAGAGCAUUGGGCCAGUGACCGAAAGGUUUCUGGAUCAAAUCCCCGAGCUGACAAGGUAAAGAUAUUUUGUUCUGCCCCUGAGCAAGGUAGUUACCCCCACUGUUCUCCCGGGCGCCGAAGAUGUGGAUGUGGAUUAAGGCAGCCCCCCUGCACCUCUCUGAUUCAGUGGUUGGGUUAAAUGUGAAAGAAACAUUUCAGUUGAAAACAUUCAGUUAGACAACUGACUAGGUAUCCCCCCCCUUAUACCGGACGAUGCUGGGCCAAUUUUGCAUCGCCCUAUGGGACUCCCAAUCACGG